CGUGGAUCCGUGUGUGUCUGCAAGGCGCCGGCUCUCGGGCCGUGCUCGUGCCUGGAGCAGGGAAACUGCGCAGGACGCCGAGAGCCCCAAGCCCUGGAGGAGUUGGGCGCCCGUUAUCGCUCUCCCCGCCGUCCUCCGGGCCGGGGGACGCUGCCGGGCUCCCCCACCCCGCAGCGGGGAGGCUGGGGAAGCGGAGGCGGCACCGGGAGAGCCAGGGCAGCCGUAGUAAUAGCGCGUAGUAGUUUGGGGGUAUGUGGAGAAGGUGCUGGAAUGUAACCGUGCCUCCGCCUGCCGGAGCCAGCCUGCAGAGGGAAAGGGAGGGGGCAGGCGGAGGGCUCCCGAGGGGCACCAGAGCGGCUGGUGGCACGGUCUUGACCGUGAAAGAAAAAACAGGCAUCGUCGUGCCGGCUGAAACUUUUUCUCCCCAACCCCCACUCAAGUCCACAGGCUCUUCUCUCCCACCUCGCAUUUAAGAGCGAUUAAGGCUCCGCACAGUAGAUUGCCGGCACUUGGCAGUUGGGCGACCUCUUGUUCCAAUUCUCCUUGAAAUACAGUUCUUUGGCUGGCGGAAUAGGCCCAAUUUGUUUCUCUGGCACCCCAACCUCACACUUAUCCUUCCUUGUGCAUAAGUACCUUUGAUCCCUUUAGGAUUCCAUCUUCACCGGCCAUGCAACAUUUCAAAGACAGAACAAUCAUCUUAGUAAGACACUGGAAGACGAGGCUGGCCAUUCCUCCCGGCGUUUUGUCAGAGGGAGAGUGGACAAGAAAACGCUUGCUUUGCUCCACGUGUAUAUUCCUCGGCUCAUAUAAAAUUUUGAUGCUGUGCUGGGAAGGACUGGUAUCAAUGCAUUCUAUACUCAACUAUGGGAACUGAAAAAUAAAAUCUGUCUCUAGCAGCAGAGCUUAAAUACAGAUACUGCCUCUCCUUUUCCCUUCGUAUU